UACGGAGGAUGCGAGCGUUAUCCGGAUUUAUUGGGUUUAAAGGGUGCGUAGGCGGGCUUUUAAGUCAGCGGUAAAAAUUCGGGGCUCAACCCCGUCCGGCCGUUGAAACUGGGGGUCUUGAGUGGGCGAGAAGAAGGCGAAAUGCGUGGUGUAGCGGUGAAAUGCAUAGAUAUCACGCAGAACCCCGAUUGCGAAGGCAGCCUUCCGGCGCCCUACUGACGCUGAGGCACGAAAGUGCGGGGAUCGAACAGG
rnacentral:rRNA from 1 species